rnacentral:misc_RNA from 1 species
AAAUGCGAUAAGUAAUGUGAAUUGCAGAAUUCAGUGAAUCAUCGAAUCUUUGAACGCACCUUGCGCUCUUUGGUAUUCCUUGGAGCAUGCCUGUUUGAGUAUCAUGAAAUCUUCAAAGUAAAUCUUUUGUUAACUCAAUUGGUUUCUACUUUGGUAUUGGAGGUCUUUGCAGCUUCACACCUGCUCCUCUUUGUUCAUUAGCUGGAUCUCAGUGUUAUGCUUGGUUCCACUCGGCGUGAUAAGUUAUCUAUCGCUGAGGACACUGUAAAAGGUGGCCAAGGUAAUUGCAGAUGAACCGCUUCUAAUAGUCCAUUGACUUGGACAAUACUUUUAUGAUCUGAUCUCAAAUCAGGUAGGACUACCCGCUGAACUUAAGC